rnacentral:rRNA from 1 species
UCCUACGGGAGGCAGCAGUGGGGAAUAUUGGACAAUGGGGGGAACCCUGAUCCAGCCAUGCCGCGUGUGUGAAGAAGGCCCUCGGGUUGUAAAGCACUUUCAGCGAGGAAGAACGCCUAGCGGUUAAUACCCGCUAGGAAAGACAUCACUCGCAGAAGAAGCACCGGCUAACUCCGUGCCAGCAGCCGCGGUAAUACGGAGGGUGCAAGCGUUAAUCGGAAUUACUGGGCGUAAAGCGCGCGUAGGUGGCUUGAUAAGCCGGUUGUGAAAGCCCCGGGCUCAACCUGGGAACGGCAUCCGGAACUGUCAAGCUAGAGUGCAGGAGAGGAAGGUAGAAUUCCCGGUGUAGCGGUGAAAUGCGUAGAGAUCGGGAGGAAUACCAGUGGCGAAGGCGGCCUUCUGGACUGACACUGACACUGAGGUGCGAAAGCGUGGGUAGCAAACAGGAUUAGAUACCCUGGUAGUCCACGCCGUAAACGAUGUCCACCAGCCGUUGGGUGCCUAGCGCACUUUGUGGCGAAGUUAACGCGAUAAGUCGACCGCCUGGGGAGUACGGCCGCAAGGUUAAAACUCACAUGAAUUGACAG